rnacentral:sRNA from 1 species
ACACGAGAGAGGAGGUGGUCUGAAGUUGAUGAACUCUAGGACGCGUGAGGUGGCUGCCAGCUAGCCGCUACCGCUGACGGAUUCACACCCGCGCGAGCGGCGAGCGAAUCCCCGGCAGCUACCCGGCCCCCGAGCCCUCGGUCCGUCCGACCGAGACCUGACAAGUCAGGAACGGCUCGGGGGCCGUUCGCA